AAAGCUACACAGAGAAACCCUGUCAAAGAAAAAAAAAUUCAAGGCUCGUUUUUACAGGAAAAUUAACAAAAGGAACAAAUUACCCAACUACCGGGAUCCCAGUCUUUGUGGUUGUUGUGUGCAGACCUCAUCUGGUCCAGUUCUUAAAAUGUCCAUCUACCGUCUGAAAAGAUGUGCCUUAAAUUCACACACACACACACACACACACACACACACACACACACACACACACACACUCGGCCCCAAGGUCAGCAUGUAUUAUCCCAGCUUCCAAUAUCAGUUUCCCGAUGUUGGAAGAUUCCCAAGGAAUAGUGGGAUAGAGGUCUUUGGCUGCCUGCAGCACGAGGCUGUAAGACCGAGGGGUAUUGUGACAUGCUCCAAGGGAAAGGCAGUUUUCCCUUUGGCCAACCAAGGCUCCCGCCCAUUGGGGCAAGGGAGCCGGACCGACAUGGAACAGAGGCCUGGGGAGCAGCCCUCAAGGGCCCAGAAGAAGAAGGUCGAGGCUCAGCCAGAGACCCUAAGUCAGACUGUCUCGGGCCGCGGUCGGGUGCUGCUAAUAAGAGAGUUCUUGAAGCAGGAGGAGAGCUACACAACCCUGCAGAACUUUCCGGGUCAGCCUCCGAAGGAUCCGAACGCUGAGCCCACCUGCAGCCAAGCAACAGACUGCCAACGUAGGUCCAGCAGUGCCAAGCGGGGACUCAAGCGUACCGGCGACUGCUUGUCAGACAGCCCCGAAGCCCCGGCCACCAAGUCCAAGUGCCUGGCGGAGAAGUCGGAGAGGGCGGAGAAGCCGGAGACGCUAGAGAAGCAGCAACUCUCGGAUCUCAAGGAAAAGGACUUGCCCGAUUGCGAGGCGCCUCGAGCUCUACCCGAGGCCCCCAGGUCGGAGACGGCAGAGAUCGCCGAACUAGGCUCGGAGCCUGGCAAGCAGCUGCUCCUGGUGCUGUGCCACGCGUCGGCGCUGGGCACGCAGCUGCCGCGGCUGCAGCUGCUCCUGCAGCAGGUGCGCAUCCAGGACCGCCGCCCGCCAGCCGCGCUCGUCGGAAUCCUGGUGCAUCCGCGGCCGGAUGAGGAGGCAGAGUCGCGCCGCCGUCUGGAGGAACUGCUCUGCAGCGUCUUCGCUUCAGAGAACCCAGGGGUCGAGGUGCACACAGCAGUGUUCUGUCCCAGCCGCUCCCAGGGUGUCCUGGAUGUCCAGCGCGCUGCCAGUCAAGCGCACAUGGACACCCAAGUGGAUCGCCAGACCCAGACGGAUGAAAACCUUCAAGGAAACACUGUACUCCCCGUAACUCACGUACUUCAAGCACUCGGAACUGUUGCUGUGGCUCUGGGGGCCCUGGGAGCUGCCUACUUCAUCGCUGAAUCCUUCUGAACUGGACCCCAGGCCCACGGUCCGGCAGAACUUCUAAAAAGCUGGUUACCCUGCUCAUCAUCUCCUUGGUGGCUCGGCUCCCCUGGUGUACCUCAACUCCAGUGACUGUGUCCACUCACACCGGUGUCCUCCAGCCUGUCCCACGUGGUCUUUGGAACGUGUGUGAUCUCUCCCACUCCUUACUAUAACUGCACCAUCUCUGCACAUGAGGAUGUCUUCAGUCACCUGUUUCACCUCAGCCCCCUUGAGCCCCAGAAGCAGAGCUGGAAACAAGGAUUGGGUGCACCUGAUACCUUGAGGAAGUACUCUCGGGAGAAAGCCGGGGAAAUACCACAGCACUUAAGAGCCUUGGCUCCCUCUUCUUGGACUUGCUGGGAGUGAGAAGGUGUCUGUAGGAGAUUGAUAGCUGGUGGCUGCUGUGUCUUGUUAUCGUAUCAGCACGGUGCCUGGGAAGAUUCUGCCUUUGGAGUUAACUUGACAAUCUCUAGACUGCUGCCUGGACUCAGUGUUAGAAACAUGUUCUUAACUUCUCUGUCCAUGUCAUCUCUGGUGGAGAGUAACAGCUCUCUCCGAAGACAAAGGUCAUGAGGAUUAAAAGAGAGAGAUUCAGAGGUGUCCUACGCAGGGCCACUGCCCAGGGUGGGGCACAUGAAGGAUGCAAGCAUUUUUACCUAUGAGAUUCUUUGUAGUGUCGCCGACUGCUUGAAGCAUGGGUUCUGCAAGCAUAUGAGGAUUUAGGGUUAGUUGUCCCUUUGGCAUCCAGUGCCUGGAGCCGAGGGCAGGCUCUGACAUCUCAUUCUCUUCCCAUUGAGUGGAGAUAAUACCAGCAGAACCCUCUUGUUGGAAAGACUGAGCUUUAGACGUUAGUGAUGGAGAGAUGUCUCACAGUGAAGCACUUGCCUUGCAAGCACGAAGACGUGAGUUCAGAUCCCCAGCACCCGUAUAAAAAGCAGGAACCAGCAGUGUGACCCCAAUGCUGGAGAGCUAAGGCAGGAGGAUUCUUGGGCCUCUCUGGGCAGCCAGUCUAGCCAGCCAGUGAACUCUAGGUUCAGCGAGAGACUACACCUUGUCUCAAAAGUAAGGUGGGGAGCAACUGAGGAAGACGUCAUGUUGACCUCUGGCGUCCGUACAUCUAUGUAUCAAUCAGCACACACAUGCAGAGACAAACUGGUGGGGGAGGGGGGAGGAGAGAGAGAGACUGUGCUGCUGCGAAACUGCUCAUUAGGUCACCUGAGACAAACCAGGAUCCUCUGCAAGAACAAGUGUUGUUCUUAACGGCUCAGCCAUUUCUCCAGACUUUAAUUAGCUUUUGAAGUAACAAGUUCCUUUAUGGCAUUUUCACAUAUACUUAAUUUGGGUUGAUUCUCCCCGACUCCUCCUGUCUCCCCAUCCUCCCAUCCGAAUUGUACUUGUCUGCCCGGGAACUGCCCCUUCCCUGUCUCAUGUGACCUAUCAUCCUCCCCAUACCCUUACUCAAAGUCUCUUUCUCCCAUCUACUGGGCCCCUUUCCAGCUUCCUGACACCUACUCACACGUAUUCCCACAUACAUAUGCAAAUCUGCUUCCUCUUAGAGAAAGAUGCUCCCAGAAUUUUCCUUCCUAGAGCUUGGUGAAACAACGUCUCCCUCAGCAUUUUCCUCAGCUGAUAAUGAGGCAACAAAAGCAAAACGUUCCUUUGGGAUCUUGAAUAUGGUCAAAGUCAGCACCAUAGCCAACCUCUGGGGGAAUGAGGCCUCUUGGCUGCUGCAGUCUCUCGAGGAAGGGGGAGUUGACAGGGAGAAUACCGACGCUGGCAGAGCCCAGAGGACGCUCUUGGACUUCACUGUCACAGCCUUGGGGUGAAUCAGUGUAGCUGACUUCAAUUGAAGAAGGAAACAAGAAGAAUGGGAGAGAUCCGUGAAGAAGGAAGAGAAGGAAGAAGAAAGAGGUAGGAGAGA